rnacentral:rRNA from 1 species
UACGAAGGGGGCUAGCGUUGCUCGGAAUCACUGGGCGUAAAGGGUGCGUAGGCGGGUCUUUUAAGUCAGGGGUGAAAUCCUGGAGCUCAACUCCAGAACUGCCUUUGAUACUGAAGAUCUUGAGUUCGGGAGAGGUGAGUGGAACUGCGAGUGUAGAGGUGAAAUUCGUAGAUAUUCGCAAGAACACCAGUGGCGAAGGCGGCUCACUGGCCCGGUUCUGACGCUGAGGCGCGAAAGCGUGGGGAGCAAACAGG